rnacentral:misc_RNA from 1 species
AAAUAAUUCAGCCAGAAAUACGGCGGACGUAUAUCACCAGAGAAUCUUAACUAAGAUUACGUAUUAUGUGAGAUAAUUAAGAAAUAAACUGCUUAUCAAGUGAAACUUGUGAAGAUUGUAUCUAAACUUCAUAUUAAAACAACUGAGCAAACUUGUCGCAGUUUAUUCAGGGAUGUGUUGAAACGCAUGCUACUUUCAUUCGCCAAUUCUACACAAUAUGGAUGAAAAUUUGAGCAGAGGAUACGUUCAGCUGGGCAAAGCUCGCGGUAUGAACGAAUUCAAGUUUACAAAUGGUUUCGCUCAUUUGUCACCUCCGGUCGACAAGUGCAACUUUGUGUAUCUUGCCCUGGUAUUAGCAGGUGCGGGAUUCUUAUUGCCGUACAACAGCUUUGUGAUCGCUGUCGAUUAUUUUCAAGCGCGAUAUCCUGGAACUACAAUCAUUUUUGACAUGUCAUUGGUUUAUAUAACGAUGGCCUUUUUCGCGGUGUUUGCAAACAACGUAUUGGUUGAAACUUUGUCUCUGAACACCAGGAUAACCUUUGGGUACCUAGUGUCCUUUGUGACAUUGAACUUUGUCGUUAUUUGUGAAAUCUGGUGGGAACUAUUCGGCGUUAAAGCAUCAUACACUAUCAACUUGGUUGCCGUCGCUGUCGUGUCUUUGGGUUGUACAGUUCAACAGUCGAGUUUCUACGGUUAUACUUCAAUGCUCCCAAGUCGGUAUACUCAAGCCGUCAUGGCUGGAGAAAGUGCUGCUGGUUUCUGGGUGUCAACUAACCGUAUAAUAACGAAAUCCUUGGUCAACGACGAACGUGGUAACACAUCAAUGUUCUUUGUCUUAUCCAUCCUGACAAUAGUGAUGUGCUUUGUGCUACAUCAGGUUGUGCGGCAGACAGAUUUCGUCCAGUUUUAUAUCACACUGUGCCAAGAAAGGUACAGAAUAACCUUAGAGCCCGCGGAGGACGUUGGUUUGAUGGAUCCUUUGGACCACGUCGGAGAUCCAUCGAAAGGUCAGUAUGGCGUUCUGAAACUCCAAACCAGCCCCCUGGCUACCGACUCUGCUGCCGCCGAAAACGUCGAUGCUGCGAGUAACGGACAGUAUUCAGCCUUUUCAUUCAGCAAUCCGGUCUACGAGCCCGGCGCACCAUCUGGAAAUCCUUCCAACAGUGCUGGUCCAACCUACAAGGUUGAAGAUAUCGUCGUUCGUGCCCGCGGAACCUGCGGAACCCGAAACAACAGGCCAUGGUCUGGAAUUAAGAGAGGUCUAUUGGCACGACUAGAAGUUGCAAAAUUAAUCUUUCCAUACAUGACAAGCAUAGGAGUUGCUUACUUUGUCACGCUCUGCCUCUACCCAGGAAUAGUUUCAGAAAUUAUAUCCUGCAAGUUUGAAUCGUGGAUGCCGGUGAUUUUGAUGGCCGCUUUCAAUGCAGCAGAUCUUCUGGGCAAGGUCUUAGCCUCGAUCCCAUACGAGUGGACUCGUACACAGCUACUAUACUUUUCUGGAGCACGUGCGAUUCUCAUUCCCCUGUUCCUGUUGUGCGCUAUUCCAAGACGAGCGCCGAUUUUGUCGGGCGAAGGCUAUCCGUUAUUGUUCUCGCUACUCCUAGGCUUGACCAACGGAAUUGUUGGAAGUGUACCCAUGAUUCAAGCACCCAGCAAGGGAAGGUCUGGUCAAUGGACCCAACCUGAUCCACUCAGUGCGCCUACCCCACACAUGCACAACUCUUACGUGAGCCGAGCUAGACGGUCAAUACUGCAAACUUGAGAAAAAAUACGGCCCGCAAGGGAAUCUUGAGCCCGCGACCGUCAUGGUAACCAUUGGCGCAACAUCAUGACACUCUCUUACACGACGGGACUGACCGUUGGAUCUCUACUGGCGUACAUGCUUGAUGCUUGCCUGGGACCCCCGCUCCAAACGAAAGACAUAUGUCCAAAAGUCCGGAAGAUCAUAUCAG